CAAUAGCGUAUAUUAAAGUUGUUGCGGUUAAAAGCUCGUAGUUGGAUUUCUGUUGAGGUUGGGCGGUCCGCACUUCGUGCGUGUAUCUGUUUCGACCUUGGCAUCCUUUCAAGGAACGUAACUGUGCUUAAUUGCAUGGUGCGGUACUUGAAACUUUUACUUUGAGGAAAUUAGAGUGUUCACGGCAGGCUAACGCCUUGAAUAUAUUAGCAUGGAAUAAUAAUAUAGGAUCUUGGGUCUAUUUUGUUGGUUUCUAGAGCUAAGAUAAUGAUUAAUAGGGACAAUUGGGGGCAUUCGUAUUAACAACGUCAGAGGUGGAAGUUCUUGGUAUUGUGUUACGUACGAACUAACUGCGAAAGACAUUUGUCCAAGGAUGUUUUCUAUUGAUCAAGAACGAAAGUUAAGGGGAGUCAAAGACGAUUA
rnacentral:rRNA from 1 species